rnacentral:rRNA from 1 species
AGGGCACAGGGCGGAUGCCUUGGCACUAAGAGCCGAUGAAAGACGUGAUAAGCUGCGAUAAGCUUCGGGGAGGAGCAAAUAUCCCGUGAUCCGGAGAUGUCUGAAUGGGGAAACCCACAUGAGCAAACCUCAUGUAUCCUACAGCCAAUACAUAACUGUAGGAAGGGAACCCGGGGAACUGAAACAUCUAAGUACCCGGAGGAAAAGAAAGAAAACUCGAUUCCGUAAGUAGCGGCGAGCGAACGCGGAGGAGCCUAAACCAGAGUGCGUGCAUUCUGGGGUUACGGACUGCAUUUAAGAUUCAGUGAUGUUAACAGAACGGUUUUGGGAAAGCCGGCCACAGAGGGUGAAAGCCCCGUACGUGAAAACAGAGCUGACUGAGCAGGAUCCAGAGUACCACGAGACACGUGGAACCUUGUGGGAAAUCAGGGGGACCACCCCCUAAGGCUAAAUACUACUUAGUGACCGAUAGCGCAUAGUACUGUGAAGGAAAGGUGAAAAGGACCCCGGGAGGGGAGUGAAAGAGAACCUGAAACCCUGUGUCUACAAGCUGUGGAAGCACUUUAUAUGUGCGACCGCGUACUUUUUGUAGAACGGUCCGGCGAGUUACGCUUACUGGCAAGGUUAAGCACUUCAGGUGCGGAGCCGUAGGGAAACCAAGUCUUAAGAGGGCCAGAGUCAGUAGGAGUAGACCCGAAACCGGGUGAUCUAUCCAUGUCCAGGUUGAAGUUGCCGUAAAAGGCAAUGGAGGACCGAACCCACAUCCGUUGAAAAGGGUGGGGAUGAGGUGUGGAUAGGGGAGAAAUUCCAAUCGAACCCGGAGAUAGCUGGUUCUCCUCGAAAUAGCUUUAGGGCUAGCCUCGAUUUAGUCUUAUGGAGGUAGAGCACUGAAUUUCCGCGGGGGCGUCAAAGCUUACCAAAGAAUAUCAAACUCCGAAUGCCAUUAAGAUGAUGAACGGGAGUCAGACUGUACGAGAUAAGUUGGACAGUCAAAAGGGAAAGAGCCCAGACCACCAGCUAAGGUCCCAAAGUGUGUGUUAAGUGGAAAAGGAUGUGGGGAUUCAAAGACAACUAGGAUGUUGGCUCAGAAGCAGCCAUUCAUUCAAAGAGUGCGUAACAGCUCACUAGUCGAGAGUCCCUGCGCCGAAAAUGUCCGGGGCUGAAACACAACACCGAAGCUGUGGAAUCAUACCUAGUAUGAUUGGUAGAGGAGCAUUCUUAAGACCGACGAAGCUGUACCGAUAAGGAGCAGUGGAGGGAUAAGAAGAGAGAAUGCCGGAAUGAGUAGCGAGAGGAAGGUGAGAAUCCUUCCGGCCGAAUAUCCAAGGAUUCCAGGGUAAAGCUGAUCUGCCCUGGGUAAGUCGGGACCUAAGGAGAGGCCGAGAGGCGUAUCCGAUGGACAACAGGUUUAGAUUCCUGUACCACAUAUGGUCAGAACUGUGGGGACGCAGAAGGAAAGCAUGAGCCAGGAAUGGAAAGACUGGUACAAGCAGAGGGGAUGGUGUGCUGGCAAAUCCGCACACGAAAGUCCUUGCUGUGAUGUGGAGCGAACUAAAGUAGCGAAGCAUGCGGACCGGCUGCCGAGAAAAGCCGCUAUUGUGCCAUAUGUGCCCGUACCGUAAACCGACACAGGUGGAUGAGGAGAGAAUCCUAAGGCCGACGGAAGAAGUAUUGUUAAGGAACUCGGCAAAAUGACCCCGUAACUUCGGGAGAAGGGGUGCCUGAGAAAUCAGGCCGCAGAGAAUAGGCUCAAGCAACUGUUUAGCAAAAACACAGGUCUAUGCGAAACCGAAAGGUGAGGUAUAUGGGCUGACGCCUGCCCGGUGCUGGAAGGUUAAGAGGAGAGGUUAGCGCAAGCGAAGCUUUGAAUUUAAGCCCCAGUAAACGGCGGCCGUAACUAUAACGGUCCUAAGGUAGCGAAAUUCCUUGUCGGGUAAGUUCCGACCCGCACGAAAGGCGUAAUGAUUUGAGCGCUGUCUCGACAAUGCAUCCGGUGAAAUUGAAGUACCAGUGAAGAUGCUGGUUACCCGCGCCAGGACGGAAAGACCCCAUGGAGCUUUACUCCAGUUUGGUACUGGGAUUCGGUACUGCAUGUACAGGAUAGGUGGGAGACUAUGAACUAGGGACGCCAGUUUCUAGGGAGUCACUGUUGGGAUACCACCCUUGUAGUAUUGGAUUUCUAACCAUCAGCGCGAUUAGCAGCCGUGAUUGCUGCAAAAUUUGGCGGACGACGAUGCAAAGAAAAGCGGAUGGUCACGCAAUCCACAAGCAAACCCUCAUGACUUUUCACAACCGCAAGAGCCUACAGUGGGCGAAGAAAUCAUCAAGAGUAUGGACAGAAUUACAGCAUGGUAUCGAGUUUAAUAAUACUGAACUUUUUUCCGAAAUUUGAUGGUUUUUUACAAACGUGAUUUCGGUCAACUUGCUAAUUUUGGCGAACGAUCCGGGAAAAUGUCCCACCGCCAAAAUUAGCUCUGCUAAUUUCCUGCUAAUCGCACUAGGGUAAAAGAGGGGUUUUUU